rnacentral:rRNA from 1 species
CAAUAGCGUAUGUAAAAGUUGUUGCAGUUAAAAAGCUCGUAGUUGAACCUUGGGUUUGGUUGGCCGGUCCGCUUUUUUGCGAGUACUGGAUUCAACCGAGCCUUUCCUUCUGGCUAACCAGUCGUUUCGGCGGCUGGCGAACCAGGAUUUUUACUUUGAGAAAAUUAGAGUGUUCAAAGCAGGCAUUAGCUUGAAUAUAUUAGCAUGGAAUAAUAGAAUAGGACGUUAUGGUUCUAUUUUGUUGGUUUCUAGGACCAUCGUAAUGAUUAAUAGGGACGGUCGGGGGCAUCAGUAUUCAGUUGUCAGAGGUGAAAUUCUUGGAUUUACUGAAGACUAACUACUGCGAAAGCAUUUGCCAAGGACGUUUUCAUUAA